rnacentral:lncRNA from 1 species
CUCAGAAUCCACCAUUUCUUAGGCCAAGAUAGAAAGUAACGCUUUUUCUUUUUUUUUUUUUUUUUUUUUUUUGUUUUUCCUGGGAACUUCCAUAUGCUGCAUGUGCAGCCCUAAAAAGACAAGAAAAGAAAAAAAGUCAUUAACUCAGUCUCCAACGUUUCUCCUCCUCCCAGGGGCUGGGGCUGAGAGUUCCAAGCUUGUAAUCCCACGUUGGUCUUUCUGGUGACCAGCCCCAUCCAGGAGCCCACCCAGAGUCACCUCAUUAGAACACCAGGCACUCCCAUCACCCAGGAAAUACCAAGGGUUUUAGGAGCCCUGUGUCAGGAACCAGAGACAGAGACCAAUAUGUGUAUUUUCUAUUACUUCAUACCUUAAAGACAUUUUCACAUUAUUUUAUGUUUAUCUUAAGCUCAUGUCAUUAUACCUCAGAAUAAUUUUGGAAUGCUACCAGUUUCCAUAGCAUACACGUUAUUGAAAAGUUACACUUUAAAAUUAGUAAUUAAAAUGAAUUAAUUAUAAUAACAUCUUAUUUUUUACCUUGAACUCAUUUUGAAAUUUAUGAAAGAUAUAAUUUGCUGCUCUUUACAAACAUGUGUGUAUAUGUCAUUUUUUUUUCCCCUGGUCAGAAUAUACUUAUUUCUUAGGAAGCCUUUUUAAAAGAAGUUUUUAAAAAGCAAUCUUACAAAUGGGGUUUUAGACUUUUCAAUUACAUUUUGUAUAUUGGAGACAGCCUUACUUAUCAGACACUCUCUUUCUGAGACUUCCAAUCUCUGAAUGUCAUUUUAAAGCUAUACAUUAUUUUACAGAACGUUUGUGUAAAUUUAUAGAAUUCUAAGUUCACAGCUUUUCUUUUUAAAGAGCUAAGUCUUUGUAUUUGAAGUGAGAAGAAGAUUAAUAUAUGGUAUCAAGAAUCCAUUUACUUGUAAAUUACAGAAACCCAAUCAACAUUGGUUUAACAGAUAACUGGGGUGGGGAGGGAAGGCGGGAAGGGUCCAGGCUGUCACUCUGACUCAGUAAAGCCACCAGGAGCCUAAGCUCCUUUGUAUCUCCCUUCUUGGUCACCCCUCGUUUGCCAUCCUUCAGCCUUGGUGUUGGCAUCAGACAAUUACAAAGUGGUUGCUGCCCCUUUAAUUUCCAGGCAGGAAGAAGGACAAAGGAAGAAGGGGGAGGGUUACCUCCUAACAAAGCCUUGCCUUUUAAUUCAGGCAAGAACUUCUUCCUCAGGGUCUUCCACCCACAUCUUAUUGACCAGAACUGAGUGAAGUGGCCAUUCUUAGCUGCAGGGAGAUUGCAUAUUUGUAGAGUUCUGUUCAUAAGAAGGGAAGUGGGAAUGGACACUGAAUAGGCAAUUAGCAGGGUCUGCUGAACUUACCUGAGUUAAAAUAAAGGUACAUAAUUAAAAACUUAACACUUACAUGUUUAUUUGACCUGUACAUGAGUAACAUUCAAUGUUAUUUAUAAUUGGCCUCCUUUUAAGAUUUUCUUCCUCUAAAGAGCCAUCUUAGGAGUUCCCAUUGUGGCUCAGUGGUUAACAAACCCGACUAGGAACCAUGCGGUUGCAGGUUCGAUCUCUGGCCUUGCUCAGUGGGUUAAGGAUCCAAUGCUGCUGUGAGCUGUGGUGUUGGUUGCAGACGUGGCUGGGAUCCCAUGUUACUGGGGCUGUGGUGUAGGCCAGCAGCUGUAGCUCCUAUUAGACCCCUAGCCUGGGAACCUCCAUAUGCUGUGGGUGCAGCCCUAAAAGACAAAAAGACAAAAAAAUAAAAAAAAAUAAAGGGCCAUCUUAGAGUUCCUUGGUGGCCUAGUGGUUAAGUACCCGGCAUUGUCUACUAUAGCUUGGGUUCCGUCCCUGGCCCAGAAGCCCGGAACUUCCACAUGUUGUGGGAACAGCAAAAAAAAAAAAAAAA